AUGAAACUCGGACUUAGUGCUCCGGUGGUUAUGCGUGGAAGGGGCAUCGCUCAACGGAUAAAAGCUACCCUGGGGAUAACAGGCUUAUCUCCCCCAAGAGUCCACAUCGACGGGGAGGUUUGGCACCUAGAUGUCGGCUCAUCCCAUCCUGGGGCUGUAGUAGGUCCCAAGGGUUGGGCUGUUCGCCCAUUAAAGUGGUACGCGAGCUGGGUUCAGAACGUCGUGAGACAGUUCGGUCCCUAUCCGUCGCAGGCGUAGGAAAUUUGAGAAG
rnacentral:rRNA from 1 species